rnacentral:lncRNA from 1 species
AUGUGGUGUGGGGUGUGUGUGGUGUAUGUAUGGUGUAUGUGUGGUGUGGGGUGUGUGUGGUGUAUGUGUGGUGUGUGUUGUGUGUUGUGUGGGUGUGUGUUGUGUGGUGUGUGGGUGUGUGGUGUGUGUGGUGUGUUGUGUGUGUUGUGUGUGGUGUGUGGGUGUGUGGUGUGUGUAUGUGUGUGUGGUGUGGGGUGUGUGUGGUGUAUGUAUGUGUGGUGUGUGUGUGUAGUGUGUGGUGUAUGUGUGGUGUGUGUGGUGUGUGGUGUGUGUAUGUGUGGUGUGUGGUGUAUGUGUGGUGUAUGUGUGGUGUGUGUGGUGUGUGGGUGUGUGGUGUGUGUAUGUGUAUGUGUGGUGUGGGGUGUGUGUGGUGUAUGGUGUGUGUAUGUGUGGUGUGUGUAUGUGUGGUGUGUGUAUGUGUGGUGUAUGUGUGGUGUGUAUAUGUGUGGUGUGUGUAUGUGUAUGUGUAUGUGUGGUGUGUGUAUGGUGUGUGGUGUGUGUAUGUGUGGUGUAUGUGUGGUGUGUGUGGUGUGUGUAUGUGUGGUGUAUGUGUGGUGUGUGUGGUGUGGGGUGUGUGUGGUGUAUGUGUGGUGUGUGGUUGUGUGGUGUGUGUAUGUGUGGUGUGGGGUGUGUGUGGUGUGUGUGUGGUGUGUGUAUGGUGUGUGGUGUGUGUAUGUGUGGUGUGUGUUGUGUGUUGUGUGGGUGUGUGUUGUGUGUUGUGUGGGUGUGUGGUGUGUGUGGUGUGUUGUGUGUGGUGUGUGUGGUGUGUGGUGUGUGUAUGUGUGUGUGGUGUGGGGUGUGUGUGGUGUAUGUAUGUGUGGUGUGUGUGUGUGGUGUGUGGUGUAUGUGUGGUGUGUGUGGUGUGUGGUGUGUGUAUGUGUGGUGUGUGGUGUAUGUGUGGUGUAUGUGUGGUGUGUGUGGUGUGUGGGUGUGUGGUGUGUGUAUGUGUAUGUGUGGUGUGGGGUGUGUGUGGUGUAUGGUGUGUGUAUGUGUGGUGUGUGUAUGUGUGGUGUGUGUAUGUGUGGUGUGUGUAUGUGUAUGUGUAUGUGUGGUGUGUAUGGUGUGUGGUGUGUGUAUGUGUGGUGUAUGUGUGGUGUGUGUGGUGUGUGUUGUGUGUUGUGUGGGUGUGUGUUGUGUGUGUUGUGUGGUGUGUGGGUGUGUGGUGUGUGUGGUGUGUUGUGUGUGGUGUGUGUGGUGUGUGGUGUGUGGUGUGUGUAUGUGUGUGUGGUGUGGGGUGUGUGUGGUGUAUGUAUGUGUGGUGUGUGUGUGUGGUGUGUGGUGUAUGUGUGGUGUGUGUGGUGUGUGGUGUGUGUAUGUGUGGUGUGUGGUGUAUGUGUGGUGUAUGUGUGGUGUGUGUGGUGUGUGGGUGUGUGGUGUGUGUAUGUGUAUGUGUGGUGUGGGGUGUGUGUGGUGUAUGGUGUGUGUAUGUGUGGUGUGUGUAUGUGUGGUGUGUGUAUGUGUGGUGUAUGUGUGGUGUGUAUAUGUGUGGUGUGUGUAUGGUGUGUGGUGUGUGUAUGUGUGGUGUAUGUGUGGUGUGUGUGGUGUGUGUAUGUGUGGUGUAUGUGUGGUGUGGGGUGUGUGUGGUGUAUGUGUGGUGUGUGGUUGUGUGGUGUGUGUAUGUGUGGUGUGGGGGGUGUGUGGUGUGUGUGUGGUGUGUGUAUGGUGUGUGGUGUGUGUAUGUGUGGUGUAUGUGUGGUGUGUGUGGUGUGUGUAUGUGUGGUGUAUGUGUGGUGUGUGUGGUGUCGGGUGUGUGUGGUGUAUGUGUGGUGUGUGUGGUGUGGGGUGUGUGUGGUGUAUGUGUGGUGUGUGGUUGUGUGGUGUGUGUAUGUGUGGUGUGGGGUGUGUGUGGUGUAUGUGUGGUGUGUGUAUGGUGUGUGGUGUGUGUAUGUAUGGUGUAUGUGUGGUGUGUGGUGUGUGGUGUGUGGUGUGUGUGGUGUAUGUGUGGUGUGUGGUUGUGUGGUGUGUGUAUGUGUGGUGUGGGGUGUGUGGGGUGUAUGUGUGGUGUGUGUAUGGUGUGUGGUGUGUGUAUGUGUGGUGUGUGUGGUGUAUGUGUGGUGUGUGUAUGGUGUGUGUAUGUGUGGUGUAUGUGUGGUGUGUGUGGUGUAUGUGUGGUGUGUGUAUGUGUGGUGUAUGUGUGGUGUGUGGGUGUGUGGUGUGUGUAUGUGUGGUGUGGGGUGUGUGUGGUGUAUGUGUGGUGUGUGUGGUGUGGGGUGUGUGGUGUGUGUAUGUGUGGUGUGUGUAUGUGUGGUGUAUGUGUGGUGUGUGUAUGGUGUGUGUAUGUGUGGUGUAUGUGUGGUGUGUGUGGUGUAUGUGUGGUGUGUGUAUGUGUGGUGUGUGGGUGUGUGGUGUGUGUAUGUGUGGUGUGGGGUGUGUGUGGUGUAUGUGUGGUGUGUGUGUGGUGUGUGUAUGGUGUGUGGUGUGUGUAUGUGUGGUGUAUGUGUGUAUGGUGUGUGGUGUGUGUAUGUGUGGUGUAUGUGUGGUGUGUGUAUGGUGUGUGGUGUAUGUGUGGUGUGUGUGUGGUGUGUGUAUGUGUGGUGUGUGUAUGGUGUGUGGUGUGUGGUGUAUGUGUGGUGUGUGUAUGUGUGGUGUAUGUGUGGUGUGUGUAUGGUGUGUGGUGUGUGGUGUAUGUGUGGUGUGUGUGGUGUGUGUAUGUGUGGUGUAUGUGUGGUGUGUGUAUGGUGUGUGGUGUGUGGUGUAUGUGUGGUGUGUGUAUGUGUGGUGUAUGUGUGGUGUGUGUGGUGUAUGUGUGGUGUGUGUAUGUGUGGUGUAUGUGUGGUGUGUGUAUGGUGUGUGGUGUGUGGUGUAUGUGUGGUGUGUGUAUGUGUGGUGUAUGUGUGGUGUGUGUGGUGUAUGUGUGGUGUGUGUAUGUGUGGUGUAUGUGUGGUGUGUGUAUGGUGUGUGGUGUGUGGUGUGUGUGGUGUAUGUGUGGUGUAUGUGUGGUGUGUGUGGUGUAUGUGUGGUGUGUGUAUGUGUGGUGUGUGUAUGGUGUGUGGUGUGUGUGUGGUGCAACACACCCCCUGGCACCUGCCCUUGCGCUGGAAACGCAUAUUCUUAGGCGGGCAUUUACACGCCUCGGCACUCCUUGGCUCACACAGACACUCAUCCGUUCAGCACAUAUUUCUCCAGUGCCCACUAUGCGCUAGGCGUGGGGGGCACAACUGUGGACCAGACAGAGGCAGCCCUUCCUAUCAAACGACUUUACAACUCUGCCACUUGUUAGCUGUGGGACCCUGGAUGAGUCACACAGCCUCUCUGGAGUCCCAGUUUUCUCCCCUUGAAAGCAGGUGA